ensembl:misc_RNA Metazoa_SRP Metazoan signal recognition particle RNA
GCCAGUCCCAGUGGCAGGUGCCUGUAGUCCCACCUACUUGGGAGGCUGAGGCUGGAGGAUCACUUGAGCCCAGGAGUUCUGAGCUGUAGUGCACUUUGCUGAUCGGGUGUCCGCACUAAGUUUGGCAUCAAUAUGGUGACCUCCUGGGUGCGGGGUACCACCAGGUUGCCUAAGGAGGGGUGAACCGGCCCAAGUUGGAAACGAAGCAGGUCAAAACUCCCUUGCUGAUCAGUAAUGGGGUCGAGCCUGUGAAUAGCCACUGCACUCCAGCCUGAGCAACAUAGCGAGACCCCGUCUAUA